UAUUGAUAAAUAUAAAAAAGAGAAUGAUGAACUCAAAAAUGAGCAAAUUAAAUUAAAACAAAUUAUUUCUACUCAACAAUUACAAAUAUUAAAACUUGAAGAUAAUAUCAUAAAAUGGACAGCGUUUUCAACACACGUGUUCACUCAGUAUUUUCAAAAUUAUUUACUCCUACACAAAUUGAUGCUAUUUUGAAUGGUAACAAAAAAUUUAUAAAUGGACUCCAGAAGAUAUAGCUUCUGCAAUAUCGUUGAGAAGUGUAUCUCCAAAGGCCUAUAGGUAUUUAAGGGAAAAGAGACAGUUUCCGUUGCCAGGCUUAUCAACUCUCAGGACAUGGGCAAGUCAUUUUUCAGUAGAUACUGGAGUCUUGACAAAUGUAUUAACUUUGAUGAAAGUAAAAGGAGAAACUCUAACUGAUAAUGAUAAACUGACAGUAAUCUCGUUUGACGAAACGUAUGUAACAAAAAGAAUUUGUUAUGAUAAAAAAAUGAACAAAUGAUUGGUCCACAUAAAUGUGUUCAAGUUCUUGUUG